UACGGAGGAUGCGAGCGUUAUCCGGAUUUAUUGGGUUUAAAGGGUGCGUAGGUGGUUUCUUAAGUCAGAGGUGAAAGGCUACGGCUCAACCGUAGUAAGCCUUUGAAACUGAGAAACUUGAGUGCAGGAGAGGAGAGUGGAAUUCCUAGUGUAGCGGUGAAAUGCGUAGAUAUUAGGAGGAACACCAGUUGCGAAGGCGGCUCUCUGGACUGUAACUGACACUGAGGCACGAAAGCGUGGGGAGCAAACAGGAUUAGAUACCCGCGUAGUCCCUGA
rnacentral:rRNA from 1 species